AGUGGCGGACGGGUGAGUAACGCGUGAGAAUCUGCCUUGGGGUCGGGGACAACCACUGGAAACGGUGGCUAAUACCGGAUAAGCCGAUUGGUGAAAGAUUUAUUGCCCGAAGAGGAGCUCGCGUCUGAUUAGCUAGUUGGUGAGGUAAGAGCUCACCAAGGCAGCGAUCAGUAGCUGGUCUGAGAGGACGAUCAGCCACACUGGGACUGAGACACGGCCCAGACUCCUACGGGAGGCAGCAGUGGGGAAUUUUCCGCAAUGGGCGAAAGCCUGACGGAGCAAGACCGCGUGAGGGAGGAAGGCUCUUGGGUUGUAAACCUCUUUUCUCAGGGAAGAAGCUCUGACGGUACCUGAGGAAUCAGCCUCGGCUAACUCCGUGCCAGCAGCCGCGGUAAUACGGAGGAGGCAAGCGUUAUCCGGAAUUAUUGGGCGUAAAGCGUCCGCAGGUGGCAAUUCAAGUCUGCUGUCAAAGCACGGGGCUUAACUCCGUUAAGGCAGUGGAAACUGAAUGGCUAGAGUGCCGUAGGGGUAGAGGGAAUUCCCGGUGUAGCGGUGAAAUGCGUAGAGAUCGGGAAGAACAUCGGUGGCGAAAGCGCUCUACUGGACGGCAACUGACACUCAGGGACGAAAGCUAGGGGAGCGAAUGGGAUUAGAUACCCC
rnacentral:rRNA from 1 species